AGCAGAGUCGUGACGGGGGUGACACGCAGCAGCCGGGGGCGGCAGGCCGCGGGAGCCGGGCGCCUCCCACGCAGGGCCGGCGUUCCCCGCCGCGGGCAUUUUAUUAAUGCUUUUACGAGUUAGAAGAGUUGGGAUAAUUUACCACCUGGAGUUUCUCUGCCUUGCUGAUCUGAGCUCAGACCUGCUAAUUUACCAGAGAUGAUUGAUAAGACCCUGUAACAGCUGAGAGGAAAAUGGAAGAAGCAGAGAUACUUUUAGUGAAACAGAAUAAACCACUGAACAGGAAAAAUGAGGAAGCCGUGACUACCAGUGGAAGGAACGAGCCAGGAAGAGGGACUGGAACCAUCUCAGAAGCCGUUCCCCUCAGCCUGGAACUUGCCCUGUCUCCUCGCAGAUGAGGUAGGAGGCUCAGCACAGGCUGGCGGGAGCAGCCCACAGCAGCAGUGAGGGUCAGUGGGCCUGUGAGUUAAGAAGAAGGUGGCACAGAGCGAGGGUCUCUGGGUCCUGUUUGACUUUUCCCUGACUGGGAUAAGUAGCCAGGGCUGGGCUAGUUGGAGAGUUACUUGAAGCUCAGGUGACAGUUGUAAGGCAAGCACAUGGUGAAAAAGAGUCCUAGCCUGGGAAAGUCCAAAAUCUUGGGUCUGCUUUCAGUUCACUCACCUAUCUCUGUGACAUAGCAAAGUCUCUUAACUUCUUUAAUUUUCUGAUUAGUGGUAUAGUUGCAGGAAAGAAAUAAAACUCGUCCUGAUUACUCAGAGAUUCAUUUACUGAUUACUCUUUUUGUGAUUUGAGUAAAGAGUACAACAUCUCUCAAAAGGUAACAAUUUGAUAUUUCAGGAAAUUAGAGAAGUUAAGAGACUUUGCUGUAUUAUGCAGAUAGUUGACUGACAGCUGAGCCCAGACCCAAGAUUCAUUUAUAAAACAAAGGAGUUGAGAAGUACAUACUCUGAGGUUUAUCUUAAAUAAACUAGUCUAGGUAAGUGGCUGAGCUAGGUUUGCCAUGAAUCAAUCUGCUGAGUAUAUUUCUUGGUAACUAGUUCAUCUUUGCUUAAUUCAGUCAACAAAUAUGAUAUCAAGUUUAGUAAGAUGAUGACAGAUGUCAUGUAAUACUCCAUCUGGAAGACUAUGUGCUUCUCAGCUUCCCUAACUUUUCUUAAUCUACCUUAAGCUUCCCUUCUGAAAGGUUUCUGUCUUUCCUAACAGUCUCUUCUUACCGCCAGCUACCUCUUGUGUUUAAGAAUUUAAGGAAGAUGAGCUAGGAAUCAAGAAAUACCCAGAACUGAUUCCUGUCACUGGCCCCACCCUGCCACUUCCCCAGAGCUGUGGUAUAAAUUUUUUUAAUAGGCUGAAAUAAAGAUAUGAAUAGUAUUUUGGUAUUAAGUAUUGAUAAAAGUAAAGGCCAUGAGAUAUACCUGCUCUCACCAUGUUAAUUUUCUAUUAUUGGUAUUAAUAAAUUAUUACUUACUAACAUAUUAACAAGAAUUGCGUCAAGAAAAAAAGCAGCCACAGGCCAAAUCUUUUGAAUUUCAAAUGUUUAUAUUAAUGUAUUGUAUUCUAGAAAAGUAAAAUUGUCUUAAGUAGCUUUGUAAUAUAAAGUAAUCUAUCAGCCCAUGACACCUAUUAGAAUGUUUUAACCUUUGUCUCCCACGUUUUUGUUUCUAAACUGAGUGUACUUGGUCUGGUAUUUGUGGCAUAACUUACAGAACACAUAGGAAUGAUACAGAUACUAUUUAAUGAUGACCUAGUACAAGCUUAGAUAGCUAAGGUGAAAGCUUCUAUGGCCUUAACAUUUUCCUCUUGAAGAAUGUAUUUGCUGUAAUAAAAUACAGUGACUACUUGAAAUCUAUAAACUUAUGUGAGGUCUGGAUAAAUCUGAGCAACUUUCUUCUUUGUGCUCCAGGAACCCAUGCACUAUAUAUAUAAAUAAAGCUUAAGUAAACAUCACUGC